GACGAACGCUGGCGGCGUGCUUAACACAUGCAAGUCGAACGAUGAACCACUUCGGUGGGGAUUAGUGGCGAACGGGUGAGUAACACGUGGGCAAUCUGCCCUUCACUCUGGGACAAGCCCUGGAAACGGGGUCUAAUACCGGAUAACACUUCUGCUCUCAUGGGCAGGGUUAAAGCUCCGGCGGUGAAGGAUGAGCCCGC
rnacentral:rRNA from 1 species